rnacentral:rRNA from 1 species
CAUGUAGGCGGAUUAAUAAGUUUGAAGUGAAAUCCUAUAGCUUAACUAUAGAACUGCUUCGAAAACUGUUAAUCUAGAAUGUGGGAGAGGUAGAUGGAAUUUCUGGUGUAGGGGUAAAAUCCGUAGAGAUCAGAAGGAAUACCGAUUGCGAAGGCGAUCUACUGGAACAUUAUUGACGCUGAGAUGCGAAAGCGUGGGGAGCAAACA